rnacentral:rRNA from 1 species
UACGUAGGGGGCAAGCGUUGUCCGGAUUUAUUGGGCGUAAAGCGCUCGCAGGUGGUUCAUUGCGUCGUGCGUGAAAGACCCCGGCUCAACUGGGGAGGUCGUGCGAAACGGGUGAACUAGAGGCCAGUAGGGGGAUGCGGAAUUCCCGGUGUAGCGGUGGAAUGCGCAGAUAUCAGGAGGAACACCUAUAGCGAAGGCAGCUUGCUGGGACGUUACUGACGCUAAGGCGCGAAAGCGU